rnacentral:rRNA from 1 species
AAUGGCUGCAGUAAUUUGACUGUACAAAGGUAGCAUAAUCAUUAGUUUUUUAAUUAAAAGCUUGUAUGAAAGGUUGGACGAAAUAAAAUCUGUCUCUUUUUAAUAAAAUUAGAAUUUAAUUUUUAAGUUAAAAAGCUUAAAUUUUUAUAAAAGACGAGAAGACCCUAUAGAGUUUUAUAUUUUUAAUUUAAUAAUUAAUUUAGAUUUAUUAAUUUUAUUUUAUUAAAAUUAUUUUAUUGGGGUAAUAGAAAGAUUAAAAAAAUUCUUUUUUUAGUAAAUCAUUAAUAUAUGAAAAUUUAUGAUCCAUAAAAUUUUGAAUAUAAGAUUAAAUUACCUUAGGGAUAACAGCGUAAUUUUUUUUUAGAGUUCUUAUCGAUAAAAAAGUUUGCGACCUCGAUGUUGGAUUAAAGAUUAGUUUAGGUGUAGAAGUUUAAAUUUUUGGUCUGUUCGACCAUUAAAUCUUUACAUGAUCUGAGUUCAAACCGGUGUAAGCCAGGUUGGUUUCUAUCUUUAUAAUAUUUUUAUAUUUUAGUACGAAAGGACCAAAUAUAAUGUAUAGUUAAAUACUUAUUUUAAUGAAUAU